rnacentral:rRNA from 1 species
UUUCGAAUCUCAGCUUGGUAGGGAUACCCGC